rnacentral:lncRNA from 1 species
UUAUGCAUUGCUUUGGUUGAAUGUUUUGCAUUUUAAAUUUGGAAUUUAUUUGUGCUCAAUCAUGCUUUGUUCGGUUUUAAAUCUCACCUUAAGACAUUUAUGAUACGAAGUGUUGGGUAGUAAGCGAUUUGGGAUGUGAUUUGGGCCUUCUUUGAACCGUUUGAGCCUUUCAAGCCUACCUUUAAAUUUUUAUCCUUAGAACCUUGAUUUGAGCCUCGGAGAGAAAAG